UUUUCCUUUAUUCAUCCUUUGGCAUUAUACUGUCGUUUAUUUGUAUAUCAAUUUUAAAUAUAAAACGAAAAUAGAAGGUUAUUCACCUUAUACUAAUUUUUAUACAAUUUACAUAUUCUCUUAUUAUUAUACGUAUAUAUUUUUGGCAUAAUAUACGUACAUAUAUAUAUAUAUAUAUAUAUAUAUAUAUACACACCACAAGUUAGAGAAAGGAAGACCUAUUUUACAUAAUAUUCACAAACCAUUUUUUUUUUUUUUUUUUUUUUUCGAAAUAACAAUUUUUUUCUAUUUUAUUUAAAAAAAAAAAUGAAAGAUAAUUUCGAAAAUCAUGACAGUACGGAAGUGUUAGACUUGAGAAAAGAAAAAAAGAAUAAACUACAUUAUUGGAUAAAUGAUGAUAAUAGAAAAAAUAAAAAUAACAAAGAUGUAAAAAAUAAUAAACCUGAUAAUAAAAUAAAUUUUAAAAAUAAUAGAAAAAUUACACCAAAUGGAAAUAAUAAAAAUAAUCAUAAUGAUAUUAAUGGUACUACUGUAAACAAUAAAUUAAGUGAAAAUAAUAAAGAAAUUAUAACAGUAAAAAAUAAAAAAGAAUUUAAAAAAAUAGGUCAUGAAACAAGUGAAGGAAAGUACUUUAACAAUGAUAUUAACAACAAGGGUAAAAAUAAUCACAACAUUAAUAGGAGUACCAAUGAUACUGGUAAUACUAACACCAAUAUUCGAACUGAUAGUAUACAAAAUAGUGGUAAUAUGAAUAGGAAUGUCAAACCAAAAUACACUGGUGGUUAUAAUAAUAGCAGCAAUAGUAAUGAAAACAAUAGUAGUAGCAUUAUAAGCAAUAAAAAUGGUAGUAACAAUAUAAACAAUAAAGAUGGUAGUAAUGUUAAAGCGAAUGUUACUGACCAUAACUUAGUAAAGGGAAGUGUAGAAUAUAAAAAAAAAGUUUACAACGAUAGAGAAAAAAAUAGUAAAAGUUCAUAUCAUAAUUCUGAAAAGGUUAAUUCUGAAAAGGUUAAUUCUGAAAAAGUAAAUUAUGAAAAAGUAAAUUAUGAAAAAGUAAAUUCUGGAAAAGUAAAUUCUGGAAAAGUAAAUUCUGGAAAAGUAAAUUAUGAAAAUAUAAAUUAUGAAAAAAUAAAUUAUGAAAAAAUAAAUUAUGAAAAAAUAAAUUAUGAAAAAGUAAAUUCUGGAAAGGUUAACUCCGAAAAGGAAAUUGUUGAAAACAAUGGAACUACUAAUGUUACUACUUCCAAGACUAACAACAUGACUAGAAAUAUAAGUAACAAUGCUAAUAGUGAAGAAUUGAAAAAAGAAAUAAAUAAAAAUUAUAUGAAGAGUGAAA
rnacentral:lncRNA from 1 species